CAAUAGGGAAGUUACCACAGUUGUAUUAAUUAAGUCAUGUUUAACACGAAACAGAAGUACUCAGAACAUGGAUUGACCAAUCCAAGUAGGAAGAGUGUUGGUUGGGGAGACCUGAUAGUGUGUUUUAGAGGAGUUUUUGACAACUCAAAAGGAAGGCCUCCAUUUUGUCAGUGUCCUCACCCUCUUUUUCGGAUCCAAAACCCCAUUUUCCCCACCAAUUAAAGGGGGAAAAAAGAAGAACCUAACAGAUUGUCAAAGGCUACACCAAAACUUUGUCCACAGGCUAUGCUGGAGGAUGCUAAGAAGGGCUGCAAAAGGCUGCAUUAAAGAACAUUGAAAGCGUAAAGGAGGAAGCACGUGGGCACAUGUGAAGAAGCAGAAAAUGGAGAAAUCAAUGAAAGCAACGCUGAAAAAGGCCCACCUUAGCCUUGUUUAUCUUAACAGAGAAGAACACCGAGCAAGGAAAAAAGUGUGAUAUUAUAAGAUAAGAUCGAUCAUAAGCCACUGCUCGAGGUAGAAGUGUAUGCGACGCAAGAAGGACCCUUAGAUCGGGUCAUAUCUUAUAUUGAUUCGAGGUAGAAGUGUAUGCGACACAGGAAGGACUCUUAGAUCGGGUCAUAUCUUAUAUUGACUAUCUUAGACAUGUUUAUAAGU